GACAGAGGGUGCAAACGUUGUUCGGAAUUACUGGGCGUAAAGCGCGUGUAGCGGCUAAGUAAGUCGGGCGUGAAAUCCCACGGCUCAACCGUGGAAGUGCACUCGAAACUGCAUAGCUAGAGUCCUGGAGAGGAAGGUGGAAUGCUUGGUGUAGAGGUGAAAUUCGUAGAUAUCAAGCGGAACACCGGUGGCGAAGGCGGCCUUCUGGACAGUGACUGACGCUGAGACGCGAAAGCGUGGGGAGCAAACAGG
rnacentral:rRNA from 1 species